CAGCAACUCUCUGUGCCAAACCCUGGAAAUUCCUGGAAGAAGUCAAUGUUAUGUCUUGUGGGAAACAGACACAUAACAGCAUCCUGAAGAUUCUGGAAAACCUCAAGAACACUGAGUCAAAAGAAGAACGAUUAGGGCGCUUGAAAAAGAGGGGGAAAGACCUUCGUUGAAGCAUAACGGAAACCACUACAUAUCCUGCUAUCAACAAAAUACUUGUCAGAACACAGCACACCACUUUGCAAUGUGCCAUCAAUGUUUUAGUAGCUCCCUUCUGACAGCCAUGAGAAGCCAAUGAAAAAUUGAUGGGACAAUAUGGUCUGUAAGUAUGCAUAAUUAAAUGAUUCUAUUCUAUGAAUUUCCCAUUAGUUACCAAACAUGUGUCAACUUCAAUAGAUGGAACAAGUGACUAAUAGCCAUAAUAAACUGCUAGAUUUGGAUAAAUUUGAAAAAUCUAAAGUGACUGGAGCUUGGCAUUGUGAAUAACUCUCUUUUUAAAGCCCACCAUUUUUAAAAAUGCCUUACACUAGCACUCAGACUUAAAACAUUAAUCAGCAAAUCAACAUGAUGGUGAUGCUUACAUAAAAAUAUGCAAUGCUGAUGUGUGAACAAAUAAACAGACCCUUUCCACGGUACAAUAUAAUUCAAACAAAGACAAAAUUAAAGCUCACAAUACAAAUUACCACAAUAAAAAUGAAUCCUAAAUAACAAUCAUAUGAUGAAACAAAACAAACCCCAG